rnacentral:rRNA from 1 species
GAUGAACGCUAGCGGCAGGCCUAACACAUGCAAGUCGAGGGGCAGCACAGAAACAGCAAUGUUUUGGUGGCGACCGGCGGACGGGUGCGUAACGCGUAUGCAACCUACCUUUAACAGGGGGAUAACGGAGAGAAAUUUCCACUAAUACCCCAUAACAUCGAUCAAGGCAUCUUGAUUGGUUGAAAACUCCGGUGGUUAAAGAUGGGCAUGCGUUGUAUUAGGUAGUUGGUGAGGUAAUAGCUCACCAAGCCUACGAUACAUAGGGGGACUGAGAGGUUAGCCCCCCACACUGGUACUGAGACACGGACCGGACUCCUACGGGAGGCAGCAGUGAGGAAUAUUGGUCAAUGGGGGCAACCCUGAACCAGCCAUGCCGCGUGCAGGAAGACGGCUCUAUGAGUUGUAAACUGCUUUUAAACAGGGAUAAAGCACAGUAUGUAUACUGUGUUGAAGGUACUGUAAGAAUAAGGAUCGGCUAACUCCGUGCCAGCAGCCGCCGUAA